CAAUAGCGUAUAUUAAAGUUGUUGCAGUUAAAAAGCUCGUAGUUGGAUUUGUGCUCUUCUGCGAUGUCCAAUUUGGUACGUUCGCGGAGGAGCAUCCUUGGGUGGAACCUGCGUGGCAUUAGGUUGUCGUGUAGGGGAUGCUCAUCGUUUACUGUGAAAAAAUUAGAGUGUUCAAAGCAGGCUUAGGCCGUUGAAUAUAUUAGCAUGGAAUAAUGAGAUAGGACCUUGGUACUAUUUUGUUGGUUUGCGCACCGAGGUAAUGAUUAACAGGGACAGUUGGGGGUAUUCGUAUUCCAUUGUCAGAGGUGAAAUUCUUGGAUUUUUGGAAGACGAACUACUGCGAAAGCAUUUACCAAGGAUGUUUNCAUUAA
rnacentral:rRNA from 1 species